rnacentral:lncRNA from 1 species
CUUAUUUUUGAGAAAUUGAGAUAAGACGUGGCACGGUACUUGUCUAUCCCAAAUUCAUGUAUUUGGUUUUCAUGUUAUAUUUGUUAUUCUCGUGGUGUUUUGUCUGAAGCUUGGUCCGUUUCUGUGUGUGUUACGUUUCGGUGUUAUGUCGUUGUUCUCCUCUUAUAUUUAAUGUGUUUCCCUCGGUUUUAGUUUGUUACCCCGAUUUUGUCUUUUGUCCAUGGAUUUAUGAGUUUUGAACAGCGG